rnacentral:rRNA from 1 species
UACGGGGGGGGCGAGCGUUAUUCGGAAUUAUUGGGCGUAAAGGGCGCGUAGGCGGCCCGAUAAGUCAAAGGUGAAAUCCCUCGGCUCAACUGAGGAACUGCCUUUGAAACUGUCGGGCUUGAGGCCGGGAGGGGGUAGCGGAAUUCCCAGUGUAGCGGUGAAAUGCGUAGAUAUUGGGAGGAACACCGGUGGCGAAGGCGGCUACCUGGACCGGUUCUGACGCUGAUGCGCGAAAGCGUGGGUAGCAAACAGG